GUGAAUCAUCAAAUCUUUGAACGCAUAUUGCACUGUCUGGUAUUUCGGUGAGUAUGCCUAUUUGAGGGUCAUUUGAAAUAAUAUAAAUCUCGAGAUUUUCUUUAAAUCAAAAAUGGGUCGGCCCAGCUUUCGUGUGGUGGUCGCCUAAAAUGCAAGACAAGCUUAUUUCUUGGGUUGCGUGAUACUUACAGUUACCUCUUGAUUUCACUAGAAAUAUACGAGCGUGCUAAGAAUUAUGACAGAAAUAAACUAC
rnacentral:misc_RNA from 1 species